CUUUACUGUAGUUUGGAAUUGGGUUCGGGCUCUUCUUGCGCAGCCUAGGUGGGAGGCUAUGAAGAUAAACUUUUGGGUUUAUUGGAGCCAACAGUGAGAGACCACUCUAGAGGAGCUAGAAUUCUAAUGGCGUUCCUUGAAGCAGGACGCUUGACAGUUUCAGAUGGGCAGUUUGACUGGGGCGGUCCCCUCCUAAAAGGUAACGGAGGUGUGCAAAGGUUCCCUCAGGCUGGACGGAAAUCAGCCGUAGAGUGUAAAGGCAGAAGGGAGCUUGACUGCAAGACCUACAAGUCGAGCAGGGGCGAAAGCCGGCCUUAGUGAUCCGACGGUUCCGAGUGGAAGGGCCGUCGCUAAACGGAUAAAAGUUA
rnacentral:rRNA from 1 species